rnacentral:rRNA from 1 species
UACGUAGGAGACGAGCGUUGUCCGGAAUUACUGGGCGUAAAGCGCGUGUAGGCGGAUGAGCAAGUCUGCUGUGAAAGCUCCUGGCUUAACCGGGAGUGGUCGGUGGAAACUGCUCGUCUGGAGGACGGUAGAGGUAGGUAGAAUUCCCGGUGUAGUGGUGAAAUGCGUAGAGAUCGGGAGGAAUACCUGUGGCGAAGGCGGCCUACUGGGCCGGACCUGACGCUGAGACGCGAAGGCGUGGGAG